ensembl:lncRNA
AUGUAUUUCAGAGAACACUGCUCUGAAACCUGGCAAAGGGAGCCUCAUCACUUCCAGAUCUACUCAGUCCCUCUCCUGAAGUGGCAAAGAUUAAAAAUUGUGGUGGUUGCAGGAUUUCCUUUUUCCAUUUGGAGUUGAGGUCUUCUGCAGGAUACUGCAACGUUUUUGUGACAUCUCUGCUUCCGUUGCCUUUCUGGGAGUCAAGGUACGUUGGGUGGAGAGUGUUUUCAUACGUAGCAAUCUGCAACAGACGUGCCAGAUGGUGAGGUUUGCCACCAUGGCAACAGUAUAUUGAAUAUUUUUUUCUCCAGGCCAAUGUAAUCUCUGGAUUAGGAGAGAAAGGCUCAGAAAUGACGGCUGCAUGUGUGUGGAGGGGGAGGGAAGCAUAAUGGCUCCUGCAAAGGGCACCCUUGUCCCAACAGUCAGUGUGCGAGGGGCUAGGAAGUAAAAGAUAAUUGACUUGAGAUCAGUGUCCUUAUGUAAUGAAGGGCUACUUGGGAGAAAGACGUGAAAACAAAAAAUAAAAUCUAUAUAAUGUGGUAGAUAUUACAAUAGUGCUGUGAGAAACAGGGAGAAUGCUGGGCUAACUCUAUCAGGAAAACAGAAGUGAUGUCACAAGAAAAGUCAUUUGGGCCAAUCUUGAAGAAUAAGUAAAAAUAUUCCAGGUUGUAAAGGAAGUAAACAACACUUCACCAAGGCACAGAAGGUAUGUAGAAUUUGUCAUAAGCUAUUUCUGGGAUACCUAUGGCCACCUAAACCACCACGAAUACAUUGUAACUACUGCCAUUGGAAUCUGUGGAUAAGAAUCAUGGAUUUGUUUUUUGUUGAUCAGUGGCAAGGAAAUUUUUGGCACAUUUCUAGAAUUUAAUGUGUUUGUCAAGAUGUUACUGGAAAAUGCUGAUGAAUUUGAAAUCCUCUUGGAAAGAGGGAUAAUUACCAAUUAAACUAUGUUUGGCUAAGUGGAAAUAAUAUAGCAGUGCUGGUUCUUGGGAAUAAGGAGACAAGCUAGUAUGAAUUUCUUUGUCUUGUGCUAGAACUUAGUGCUGUUUGACAAUAACAUUAAGUAGAGGAUCUUUAGGACCUUUAGAAUUCUAAAUGCUAUUGAGUGGUAAGCUAGAGCUGUAAAUGAAGAGAAACUACGUUGGAGAUACAUUGAAAAUGUCAACUUUUUAAAAUUAAUAAUAAAUAUUUUGUACAAUAAAAUGACAAAUUGCUUUUCAAAUUCUGAUAUAAAUAUUUUUGUUUUUUAAAAUGACUGGCACAUGGAGAGAAAAGCAAAGCAAGAAGCACAGUGUGGCUGGCAUAUAGUCUAUAUAUGUGAGGAAGCAGUGGAAAUACUAUGAUAUAUAAAGCCAGAAAAAUCAUUUGGGGUUAUAUUAGCAAAGGUCUUUCAUGUCACACCAAGAUAUUUUAACACAUCAGUGGUAAUGCAAAAUUACUUAACCAAGAUAAGAGAUAUAAAAAGAGGAACAGUUUAUGGAAAAAGACCAUAAUGAUCACUAGAUUUAAACAAAUUAGACAUGCAUUACAUAACUGUAAUUAUAGACCUGUGGCUAAGUCACUUUAUCUGCAAUAAUGCUAUAUAACACACUCUGUCAAACUCAGUGACCAUAAAAUAAAAAAUCUUUAAUUUUUGCAGAGGAUAUGGGAAGAGAGAAUUGGGAUUGACUGCCAACAGGUACAAGAUUUUUUGGCGGGGAGAUGGACAUGUUCUGGAAUUAGAUAGUUGUGAUGGUUUCACCAGAUUGUGAAUAUACUAAAAACCACUAAGGUGUACACUUCAGCACGGUAAGUAGUGAAAUUAUGUGAAUUUUGUCUCUAUCAGAAAAAAAACAAAUUAACCAUUAAAUAUGUUGGGUAAAUUUUAAUAUAUACAAAAGACAAACUUUUUCUGAAAAAGACAAAGAACAAGACCAUAGGUAUUACCUAAUUGAGUCUACUUAAAUUUUGCAAACAAAAUAAAUAAAUAAAUAAAUAAAUAAAUAAAUAAAUAAAUAAACAAACAAACAAAUAAAUAAAUAAAACAAAAAACCCCCAAGAAACAAAAGCAAAAAAAUGUCAAGGGGAAUGGGAAAUGCAGUGAAAAGCAACCUACAGAAUGGGAGAAAACAUUUGCAAACCAUUUAUCUGAUAAGGAUUAAUAUCCAAAAUAUAUAAAGAACUCCUACACUUCAAUAAAAACAGCAACAAAUAACCUGAUGAAAAACUGAGCUAAAUACUUGAAUAUACUCUCCAAAGAAGACAUACAAACGGCAAACAGGUAUAUGAAAAGAUGCUCAGUACCACUAUCAUCAGGAAAGUGCAGUGGGAUAGCACCUCACACAUGUUAGGAUGUCUACAAUAAAAAUUUUAAAAAGACAUUAAGUGUUGGUGUUGAUAUGGAGACAUUGGAACGCUUUUACACUAUUGGUGAGAAUGCAAAAUGGUGUGGCUGCUAUGGAAAACAGCAUGAAGGCUCCUCAAAAAAUUAAAAAUAGACGUGCUGUGUUGACGCAGAGGUGCACCUCUGUCUCUCUCUAUAGGUCUCGGGGCAUCUUGACUAACAAAAAUUGAACAAAGACAUAUGUUGUUUUAUUUUUUAAUUUUUAAUUUUUUUCACUAAAUCAUAUUUUAAAUAGUAAUAAAUUCUCUCCAAUUUUUAGAAUACUUUAUUUUGUCCUUAUGAAUUUAAUAUCACAUGCUAUUCAUUUGAAUAAUAUGUAUAUCACAUUAGGCUUUUAUAGUAUAUGAAUCAUGUAUUGGCAUGUAUCAUCAUAGUCCGUAGACACCUCCGAAGAAAGAAAUCACCUGGAGGUCUACUUGAAUGAUUGAAGCCUGUGAUGGUGAUAUCAUAUCAUCAUACUUUAAAUGGAAAAAACUACAACAUAGAGAAAUACAAAGUUAUGAGAUGUGUGGUUGAGGAAUUAAGAAAAAAAUAAACCAGCAAUAUUCUCAUUCAGUCAAAGGUUAGUGGUAAAUGUUGAUAUUAUAAAAGUUAUAUUUUGGCCAAGAUAUCUCAUUGAAAAGAACAGAAUAGGUCAGUCUUCAUUCAAUAAGCACAGUUACUUUCCGCCUACGAAAUGAUUCUUAUCUCUGUAGGAUCAGUUUAAGUGCCAGCUCCAGUAAAAGUGUUCCCAGAUACCCUGUAGGAUUCAUCCUUUUUUCUGAAUAGAGCGAUGGAGCUUGAAGCUACAUUUUGCCUCGUACCUUGUAUUAAAGUAAAUUAUUUACAAAAUCUGCCUCCAAAUUAGAUUAUAAAAUUGUUGAGAGAAGAAUUUCUAGCUUUACAAAUCCUCCGUAGGGUUCAGAAUAGUUUAAGUUGAGCCAUGUGAAAUGCUGUUAUUCAACCAUUUUUUUAAAAGUUUUAUGGUAUUUUAUUUUAUUUUUUUUAUAAUUUUUAUUUUGUUAUAUUACUUACCAUACAGUGCACCCCCAGUUUUUUUUUUUUAAAGAUUUUAUUUAUUUAUUUGACAGAGAUAGAGACAGCUAGCGAGAGAGGGAACACAAGCAGGGGGAGUGGGAGAGGAAGAAGCAGGCUCAUAGCGGAGGAUCCUGAUGUGGGGCUCGAUCCCAUAAUGCCGGGAUCACGCCCUGAGCCAAAGGCAGACGCUUAACCGCUGUGCCACCCAGGUGCCCCG